rnacentral:misc_RNA from 1 species
UGAAUGGCAGUAAUCUAAUGCCUGUAUCCAGAGAACAAAAACAGUUAGGCAAGUCAAACUCACUAAGGUUCCUUAAUAAUUUGUUGAUGACUUGUUCAGCAGUAACUUGGUGUGGUCAUUUUAGUGGCAUAUGCACAGGAGUUAUCAUUUCCUUGCAAACAAUUAACAUGCCUUCAAAAUACACAGACGGAAACCUAUCUGGACACCGGAACUUAAAAUUGAUACAUAUCAAUGCUUUGAAAUUGCCAAGAAUCCAACAGCAACAACCUAGCCUUUUUAGUCCAAAGCAAGAGUUAGCAAUACCAAGACUUCUUUACAGAAUAAUACAUUCUAGCUGCUUACACAGAAGUAACAACAUGAGAAUUUACCUUGAGUAACUCAUAGAUGUAAU